AACCGGCGAACGGGUGCGUAACACGUGAGCAACCUACCGAAGUGUGGGGGAUAGCCGGCCUAACGGCCGAGUAAUACCGCAUACGAUUCCGAAGAGGCAUUUCUUUGGAAUGAAACCUACGGGGUACUUCGAGGGGCUCGCGGCCUAUCAGCUAGUUGGUGAGGUAACGGCUCACCAAGGCGACGACGGGUAGCUGGUCUGAGAGGAUGGCCAGCCACAUUGGGACUGAGAAACGGCCCAG
rnacentral:rRNA from 1 species